UAUCUUAAACCUUGACACAAAUCAUCUGAGAAUCCCAUCCACAUUCCAGUUCUCAGGAUCGAAGAACAAAGACAGAAUUCAGAUGGGCCUUUUGUCAGAGCAUUCAGGUACUUACUGAUUGAGGAAGGCAAAGAGGUACCUCAUCACUAUAAGGACCGACCUGGGCAAAGUCAGGAGGAGUUUGCGGAUGUGAAGCGCCCUCUCAUAGAGAUUAUCUAUUCCUACAGACAGAAGAUGACAUGGUCAGAGUCCUUUCACUUGCCACAUUUAAAACAGAACACUGCAGUACAUGUAUUACCGGUACACAUCUGAAUAUAAGCAACACCCUGCUCUUGUGUGAGAUCCAAUUGUAACCAAAACAGCGAAUAAAUGAUCGGCUUGGGUAUACCA
ensembl:lncRNA novel transcript